UUUUUAGACCUACCUGGAGGAGUUUGCUACCUAAUCGAUAACCCACGAAAAACCUUACCAACCUUAGAAAAACCAGCUUGUAUACCAUCGUCGUCAGUCUACUUCUUAAGAAAGUAUACACAAUGAAUACCCACUCUUCUCUACGUCAGAUCAAGGUGCAGCUCAUAGGAUGGAGGUAAGUGAACUACAAUAAUUCACCAAUUUUUUUAAAAACUAAAUUUUGAACGGCCCCAUGAAACUAAACCUGAAAUAGGAUUCAGAAGUAAUCUCCACUAGAAAAUGGAUAUGAACACUUCAAAGCUCUAAAAUGCGC
rnacentral:rRNA from 1 species